AUUGAACGCUGGCGGCAUGCUUUACACACGCAAGUCGAACGGCAGCGGGGAGGAGCUUGCUUCUCUGCCGGCGAGUGGCGAACGGGUGAGUAAUACAUCGGAACGUGUCGAGAAGAGGGGGAUAACCACCCGAAAGGGUGGCUAAUACCGCAUAAAUUCUGAGGAAGAAAGCUGGGGACCUAGGAAUAGGCCUAGCGCUUUUUGAGCGGCCGAUGUCGGAUUAGCUAGUUGGUGAGGUAAAGGCUCACCAAGGCGAAGAUCUGUAGCGGGUCUGAGAGGAUGAUCCGCCACACUGGGACUGAGACACGGCCCAGACUCCUACGGGAGGCAGCAGUGGGGAAUUUUGGACAAUGGGGGCAACCCUGAUCCAGCCAUGCCGCGUGUAUGAAGAAGGCCUUAGGGUUGUAAAGUACUUUUGUUAGGGAAGAAAAGUCAGCUGUGAAUAAUGGCUGAUACUGACGGUACCUAAAGAAUAAGCACCGGCUAACUACGUG
rnacentral:rRNA from 1 species